rnacentral:rRNA from 1 species
GACGAACGCUGGCGGCGUGCCUAAUACAUGCAAGUCGAACGCUUCUUUCCUCCCGAGUGCUUGCACUCAAUUGGAAAGAGGAGUGGCGGACGGGUGAGUAACACGCGGGUAACCUACCCAUCAGAGGGGGAUAACACUUGGAAACAGGUGCUAAUACCGCAUAACAGUUUAUGCCGCAUGGCAUAAGAGUGAAAGGCGCUUUCGGGUGUCGUUGAUGGAUGGACCCGCGGUGCAUUAGCUAGUUGGUGAGGUAACGGCUCACCAAGGCCACGAUGCAUAGCCGACCUGAGAGGGUGAUCGGCCACACUGGGACUGAGACACGGCCCAGACUCCUACGGGAGGCAGCAGUAGGGAAUCUUCGGCAAUGGACGAAAGUCUGACCGAGCAACGCCGCGUGAGUGAAGAAGGUUUUCGGAUCGUAAAACUCUGUUGUUAGAGAAGAACAAGGACGUUAGUAACUGAACGUCCCCUGACGGUAUCUAACCAGAAAGCCACGGCUAACUACGUG